UAAUACUUUAGUUGUAAUUCGUCAUCCGGACCAGCAGGGGGCAGCAAUGAGCCUCAGCGACGCCGCGACGGUUAUAAAAGCAGAAGCAGCGGUCUAAUCUGGUCCCUGUUAACCAUCGGCAGGAGGAAAGAUGAUGGUGCUGCUUCUCACGAUUCCAUCAGCCACUACUGAAAAUGACCUCUGGGGACACCGUACAGCCACGGCUCAGCGGUUAUAAAAUGGAAGAUUCGGUUGAUUCCAUGACGACGAGGAACCGAUAAGCAACUGUGAACCUGGGAUGGGCUGAAUUGAUGCUGUCCAGGUGUGGAGAUGAAAGCUCUCAAAGCUGGCUGCCGGUGAGCAGACGUUCUAGGGACUGACGGAGGUGUUUCCAUCUGGAAAAAGCCCACAGAUGACCUCCAAGAUGAUCUUACAGGUCUGUGCUGUCCAGUUAAUGUCCAGUGGAAGGAACUGAGGCGAUGACGUAUGUUGCCAGGGGUGCUGCCUGGUUAACGUCCAGUGGAAGGAACCGAAGCAGUGCCAUACGUUGCCAGGUCUGUGCGUCUACUUGGCGUCCAGUGGAAGGAAGUUUCCUUUGUACCUAAAGGUCGACUGGAUGAAGAGAGCUUCUGUCCACUGAGACGGACGAUGCUUUUGGGAGUUUUUUUUCCUUUUUUUCUUUCUCAAGAGAUGAAAACCCAACAGACCAGCGGCAGAGGAUUGAUUUAUUUAUUUAUUUUUUGUCCACAGUGGAAAAAAUGCUUACUCAUGAUAUCGUUUGUAUCUGAAGAUGUAACUGAAGUUAAGGUUGACUGUACAAAGAAAUAAAAGGGGGAAAACUGCAAAUUCA